CGGGACACGUGGUAUCCUGUCUGAAUAUGGGGGGACCAUCCUCCAAGGCUAAAUACUCCUGACUGACCGAUAGUGAACCAGUACCGUGAGGGAAAGGCGAAAAGAACCCCGGCGAGGGGAGUGAAAAAGAACCUGAAACCGUGUACGUACAAGCAGUGGGAGCACGCUUAGGCGUGUGACUGCGUACCUUUUGUAUAAUGGGUCAGCGACUUAUAUUCUGUAGCAAGGUUAACCGAAUAGGGGAGCCGAAGGGAAACCGAGUCUUAACUGGGCGUUAAGUUGCAGGGUAUAGACCCGAAACCCGGUGAUCUAGCCAUGGGCAGGUUGAAGGUUGGGUAACACUAACUGGAGGACCGAACCGACUAAUGUUGAAAAAUUAGCGGAUGACUUGUGGCUGGGGGUGAAAGGCCAAUCAAACCGGGAGAUAGCUGGUUCUCCCCGAAAGCUAUUUAGGUAGCGCCUCGUGAAUUCAUCUCCGGGGGUAGAGCACUGUUUCGGCAAGGGGGUCAUCCCGACUUACCAACCCGAUGCAAACUACGAAUACCGGAGAAUGUUAUCACGGGAGACACACGGCGGGUGCUAACGUCCGUCGUGAAGAGGGAAACAACCCAGACCGCCAGCUAAGGUCCCAAAGUCAUGGUUAAGUGGGAAACGAUGUGGGAAGGCCCAGACAGCCAGGAUGUUGGCUUAGAAGCAGCCAUCAUUUAAAGAAAGCGUAAUAGCUCACUGGUCGAGUCGGCCUGCGCGGAAGAUGUAACGGGGCUAAACCAUGCACCGAAGCUGCGGCAGCGACGCUUAUGCGUUGUUGGGUAGGGGAGCGUUCUGUAAGCCUGCGAAGGUGUGCUGUGAGGCAUGCUGGAGGUAUCAGAAGUGCGAAUGCUGACAUAAGUAACGAUAAAGCGGGUGAAAAGCCCGCUCGCCGGAAGACCAAGGGUUCCUGUCCAACGUUAAUCGGGGCAGGGUGAGUCGACCCCUAAGGCGAGGCCGAAAGGCGUAGUCGAUGGGAAACAGGUUAAUAUUCCUGUACUUGGUGUUACUGCGAAGGGGGGACGGAGAAGGCUAUGUUGGCCGGGCGACGGUUGUCCCGGUUUAAGCGUGUAGGCUGGUUUUCCAGGCAAAUCCGGAAAAUCAAGGCUGAGGCGUGAUGACGAGGCACUACGGUGCUGAAGCAACAAAUGCCCUGCUUCCAGGAAAAGCCUCUAAGCAUCAGGUAACAUCAAAUCGUACCCCAAACCGACACAGGUGGUCAGGUAGAGAAUACCAAGGCGCUUGAGAGAACUCGGGUGAAGGAACUAGGCAAAAUGGUGCCGUAACUUCGGGAGAAGGCACGCUGAUAUGUAGGUGAAGUCCCUCGCGGAUGGAGCUGAAAUCAGUCGAAGAUACCAGCUGGCUGCAACUGUUUAUUAAAAACACAGCACUGUGCAAACACGAAAGUGGACGUAUACGGUGUGACGCCUGCCCGGUGCCGGAAGGUUAAUUGAUGGGGUUAGCGCAAGCGAAGCUCUUGAUCGAAGCCCCGGUAAACGGCGGCCGUAACUAUAACGGUCCUAAGGUAGCGAAAUUCCUUGUCGGGUAAGUUCCGACCUGCACGAAUGGCGUAAUGAUGGCCAGGCUGUCUCCACCCGAGACUCAGUGAAAUUGAACUCGCUGUGAAGAUGCAGUGUACCCGCGGCAAGACGGAAAGACCCCGUGAACCUUUACUAUAGCUUGACACUGAACAUUGAGCCUUGAUGUGUAGGAUAGGUGGGAGGCUUUGAAGUGUGGACGCCAGUCUGCAUGGAGCCGACCUUGAAAUACCACCCUUUAAUGUUU
rnacentral:rRNA from 1 species